AGCAGCCCCAGAAGCAAAAGUUUCUCUCUGGCCUUCUCCUUCCCUCUUCUGAGUCCCAUUCUCUCCCAAGACCAGCCAUUGAGACUAGAAUCCCUCUUCCCCAAGGCAGGUUGCAGAAACCGGAACCCCUUUUCCAAAGCCAGCCAUAAAAUCUAAAUAUAUUAUCUGUGAAAUCUGACCAUAAAGAAUGUAUCUGACCUACCUGGUUUGACUGUAGGUCACAAGACCCCCAUUCCAGAGAGGGCCUGCCCUAUACCCAGAAGGAAGUGAUGCUUCAGAGAGGCCAAGAAGAAUCUAGACAGACAGGCCUUGCUGGAUUUUCUGACUCAGUCUAUUAACAUUAAAUCAUCCCCCCUUUUGUCAAAUCAGACUUCUACCUGGCUGCCCACACUUCGUUAAGCUAAAACAUAAAAACAGAUAGCUCCUCCCCGCCUUCGGGUCUUCAUCCUGAAGCCUCCGUGGAUACACGUUGAAUGAAUUAGGAUGCUUUCUCUCCUAUUACUCGGUUGGCCUCAUGUCAGUGAUUUUUCAGUGAACCGCAGUUCCCUCGUCGGUGGGCUGCCAUGUGGGACAGGCAGGGAAGCACAGUGGACUCCAGGAAGGAAGAGGCAAGGCCCUUUGGGGAAGGAGCAUCACUCAGUGGCAGAUACAGGAAGCCCCACAGCCAGGAUUUUUGGUCCUCUGCUCCACAGCGCACAGGCUUCAGAAUCCUUCCUGAGGAUUCUCCAUUACCACCACACUUUUUAAUUUUAGGAAAUCAGCAUGUUUUAUUCAUUAAAAAGAUAAAAUAUCUUUGCGCCAGGAACGCCCCAGAGGAGAGCAGUGCUCAGGGUGGCUAAUGGAUUUCUUUAUAAUGCAAUUUAAUGCAACAAGGCAACUAAUGUAUUUAUGGUUGGGAGAGUUUUCUGCUCCGAUUCGGGAUGAGGGGCUGACAGCCUUAGACUGGGGAUACUGCAGAAUCCACACCCAGUCCCUGGCCUCACAGAGGCAGCUACUUUUUGCCUGAGCUACAGCCCUGAGGCUGAGCCAUUACCCUGAGUGACCCAUCCCCAGGAGACCAAGAGGCAGCAGGGCUGGGCCACUCUCUAGCCAUCACCUCUCAGGCCCAGGAGGGAGACCCUGCAGGUAACCAAACAAGGGUUGAAUUAUCCUCCGUGAAAAAGUCAACCUCUUGAGCAUGAAAAAGCCCCAGCUCUGGUAUUAGAAACCAACUGAAGCAGGGAUGGGUAAGCCUUCUGUGAGGAGGGAAUUCUUUUUGUUUUCUAGAAUCUGAGAUUCCUGAGAAGACCGUGGAGGGGAGGCUCCUCUUCUGAGAGUCAGGUGGUGACCUAGGAGCCUGUGAAGCCGAGGACCUUCUCACUGGGAGCUCUGACUAAUCAAGAACAGCCAGGGCAACAGCCACAUCUGUGGCCAGCAGAAAUCUUUCUGAUGCCCCCUGGCUUAAAGAAAAGAGACACUGUGGGAUUACAGCUAUCCUAUAAAAAAAGCAAAAUUCAUCUUUUUCACAUUCACCUGUGGGGCAGAAAAUAGACACUGAGGGCUGAAAGCCCUUCCUCCAUGGGUCGGCCAGGAUGGCAUCUGGUGUCUCAAAGGCCAGAGGCAGGUGAGGUAGUGGAGGCUGAGAGAGGCUUUGGAGGAGGAGGGCUCCACUGUUGGCAGCUGCUUCUCCUCCUCGGAUUUUCCCCCUCUUCUCUCUGUUUUGAUCUACUAGUACUUCUGCGUUUCUGUUUCUCCUCCUAGCCUGGCUUUUCUAGCCUUGGAGAGGCACUCAAAGAAGGCUCAGAGCAGGUGAGCAAAAGGCAAGAGACAGGAGAGGAAGCCAGGCAGUGAGGUCAUCAGGAGGCCACGUUGUGGAGCAGAGGUCAGAGCACUUUGACAUCUGCACAGGAAGCACACAGCUCUGGUUACCACUGGAAGCCGUCUUGCCCCCACAAGCCAGCCUUAAGAUGCUGCUGAUGCUGGGAUUGCAGAAUGGAGUAACAGAGAAGAGAUCUUCCUGUGGCUUGAAACUUCUAGCUAAUAUUUAAAGUUGCCCCAGAAUCACAUGCCUUCCUUUCCUAACUGUUCAGAAUAAAGAAGGGACAAUGUGGUCACCAGGUCAACAUUAAGGGAAGGUUUGGCGGCAUCAUCUGCCACUCUGCUGUUGCUGACUCUGCCACUGGGGACAGCACGUGCUUCCUUCUACGCUGGCCUGAAGUUUGUGACUUCAGGGCCCCAGAGCAUUUCUGGAAGGAGUAAAAUGAGUACAUGGCCUGGGUAGCUACUCCUAAGUAGAGUUGACAGUCAAAGGAAUACAAGCUGGGGAAACAAUAAAGCAGCCUUCUUGA